CUCCCGGCUCGGCCUCACAGUCGCCGCCUCAUCCGGUUCUCAGACGACACCCGACCCGAGCGACCUCCCGCCCGGGCCCCGGGGCUGCGCCCAAAGCCCUCAUGCCGCCCCCGAUUGGCCGGCCCCGCUGCCACUCGUACCCAGGAGCCAAUGAAAGAGAGGCAUAGGUCUCCGGUUGAGUAGACCUUCCCCCUGGGGACCUCCCGGCGGGCGCAUUGGACGCCAGAACUGUCGUUUCUGCGCAAGAGCCAAUAGCGUGGGGCAGCGAGUUGUCAAGGCCAGGAGGCGGUGUUUCGGGAAAAGGCACUGUUGGCCCCGCCCAUCUUGGGGAGGUCCCUGACGGCAAGAAAACCUAAGUCUCAUUGGCAGGAAGACGGGCCAGUCAACAGUGCGGGCCAAUGACGUUAGGGAUCGAUUCAUAGACUCUGGUCUAUUAGAGUCUUCUGGAGUAAAGAAGGGCCACGGUACUCAAAGAAGGGCGACACCUCGUGGUGGGACCUGGAACACCCUCCGCUCACGCCACGACUUGACUCGGCUAACAGCUGCAACGUUGUUCCCCUACCUCUUCAACUUGAGCGCAUCGUGACCUCUUGGAGCACCCAAUGAAACUCAACGGAUCCUCUCCCCUUGAAAAGAUACUAUUUUGCAGUGUUGGAACUAGGAAUCUUGACCUCGUGGGAAAAAAGCCUGAGAUAGGUGGAAGGAUUUUAUGAGAAGUGAUUUGAUCCCCUGGGCGUGGAUUGGCCAGAGAAGCAGCCCAAUAAGGAGUCAGAUGCCAUGGAGAGAGAUGGGCAAAAAAGUCAACCGAGACAAGGCGUGGCAUUGCAGCCUUCACCACGGCAACCUGGAAACACCCUAGAAGCUCCUUCUCUGAGCUGGUUAAAUAAAUACUGUGCAAGAACUGUAAGAAACACAGGAAGUCUUCAUGUUCCGACAUGUUAACAAUUUGAAAUAUACUGAGAGAAAAAAAAAGAUACAGAACCACUCGUAAAGGAGGCCCACAUUCAUGAAAAA